CUCCUACGGGGCGCAGCAGUCGGGAAUAUUGCGCAAUGGAGGAAACUCUGACGCAGUGACGCCGCGUAUAGGAAGAAGGUUUUCGGAUUGUAAACUAUUGUCGUUAGGGAAGAUAAAAGACUGUACCUAAGGAGGAAGCCCCGGCUAACUAUGUGCCAGCAGCCGCGGUAAUACAUAGGGGGCAAGCGUUAUCCGGAUUUACUGGGUGUAAAGGGAGCGUAGGCGGCUGUGUAAGCCAGAAGUGAAAGCCCGAGGCUCAACCACGGGACUGCUUUUGGAACUACAUGGCUUGAUUGCAGGAGAGG
rnacentral:rRNA from 1 species